AGCAGCCGCGGUAAUUCCAGCUCCAAUAGCGUAUAUUAAAGUUGUUGCAGUUAAAAAGCUCGUAGUUGAAUUUCGGGAUCAAUAUGUCGGUCGUGCCUUCGGUACGUACUGGUAUCAUUGGUUUCUCCUUUCUGACGAACCAUGAUGUCAUUAAUUUGGUGUUAUGGGGAGUUAGGACUGUUACUUUGAAAAAAUUAGAGUGUUUAAAGCAGGCAUUAGCUUGAAUACAUUAGCAUGGAAUAAUGAAAUAGGACGUUCGAUCCUAUUUUGUUGGUUUCUAGGAUCAACGUAAUGAUUAAUAGGGAUAGUUGGGGGCAUUAGUAUUCAAUUGUCAGAGGUGAAAUUCUUGGAUUUAUUGAAGACUAACUACUGCGAAAGCAUUUGCCAAGGAUGUUUUCAUUAAUCAAGAACGAAAGUUAGGGGAUCGAAGACGAUCAGAUACCGUCGUAGUCUUAACCAUAAACUAUGCCGACUAGGGAUCGGAUGAUGUUAAUUUUUUAAUGACUCUUUCGGCGCCUUA
rnacentral:rRNA from 1 species